rnacentral:rRNA from 1 species
GUGGGGAAUCUUGCGCAAUGGGCGAAAGCCUGACGCAGCCAUGCCGCGUGAAUGAUGAAGGUCUUAGGAUUGUAAAAUUCUUUCACCGGGGACGAUAAUGACGGUACCCGGAGAAGAAGCUCCGGCUAACUUCGUGCCAGCAGCCGCGGUAAUACGAAGGGGGCUAGCGUUGCUCGGAAUUACUGGGCGUAAAGGGCGCGUAGACGGACAGCUUAGUCAGAGGUGAAAGCCCAGGGCUCAACCUUGGAAUGGCCUUUGAUACUGGCUGUCUUGAGUUUGGGAGAGGUGAGUGGAACUCCGAGUGUAGAGGUGAAAUUCGUAGAUAUUCGGAAGAACACCAGUGGCGAAGGCGACUCACUGGCCCAAUACUGACGCUGAGGCGCGAAAGCGUGGGGAGCAAACAGGAUUAGAACCCCCAGUAGUCC